GCCUGGCUAGCUCAAUCGGUAGAGCGUGAGACUCUUAAAAUAGUCCAAUCUCAAGGUUGUGGGUUCGACCCCCACGUUAGGCU
rnacentral:tRNA from 1 species